GUCUAUGGCCAUACCACCCUGAAUGCACCUGAUCUCAUCUGAUCUCGGAAGCUAAGCAGGGUUGGGCCUGGUUAGUACUUGGACGGGAGAAUACAUGUGUGCCAGAGUCAACUACAGACA
rnacentral:rRNA from 1 species